CCUACGGGGGGCAGCAGUAGGGAAUCUUCCACAAUGGACGAAAGUCUGAUGGAGCAACGCCGCGUGAGUGAAGAAGGGUUUCGGCUCGUAAAACUCUGUUGUUAAAGAAGAACAUAUCUGAGAGUAACUGUUCAGGUAUUGACGGUAUUUAACCAGAAAGCCACGGCUAACUACGUGCCAGCAGCCGCGGUAAUACGUAGGUGGCAAGCGUUGUCCGGAUUUAUUGGGCGUAAAGCGAGCGCAGGCGGUUUUUUAAGUCU
rnacentral:rRNA from 1 species